GAUGAACGCUGGCGGCGUGCCUAAUACAUGCAAGUCGAGCGAACGGACGAGAAGCUUGCUUUUCUGAUGUUAGCGGCGGACGGGUGAGUAACACGUGGAUAACCUACCUAUAAGACUGGGAUAACUUCGGGAAACCGGAGCUAAUACCGGAUAAUAUUUUGAACCGCAUGGUUCAAAAGUGAAAGACGGUCUUGCUGUCACUUAUAGAUGGAUCCGCGCUGCAUUAGCUAGUUGGUAAGGUAACGGCUUACCAAGGCAACGAUGCAUAGCCGACCUGAGAGGGUGAUCGGCCACACUGGAACUGAGACACGGUCCAGACUCCUACGGGAGGCAGCAGUAGGGAAUCUUCCGCAAUGGGGCGAAGCCUGACGGAGCAACGCCGCGUGAGUGAUGAAAGUCUUCGGAUCGUAAAACUCUGUUAUUAGGGAAGAACAUAUGUGUAAGUAACUGUGCACAUCUUGACGGUACCUAAUCAGAAAGCCACGGCUAACUACGUGCCAGCAGCCGCGGUAAUACGUAGGUGGCAAGCGUUAUCCGGAAUUAUUGGGCGUAAAGCGCGCGUAGGCGGUUUUUUAGUCUGAUGUGAAAGCCCACGGCUCAACCGUGGAGGGUCAUUGGAAACUGGAAAACUUGAGUGCAGAAGAGGAAAGUGGAAUUCCAUGUGUAGCGGUGAAAUGCGCAGAGAUAUGGAGGAACACCAGUGGCGAAGGCGACUUUCUGGUCUGUAACUGACGCUGAUGUGCGAAAGCGUGGGGAUCAAACAGGAUUAGAUACCCUGGUAGUCCACGCCGUAAACGAUGAGUGCUAAGUGUUAGGGGGUUUCCGCCCCUUAGUGCUGCAGCUAACGCAUUAAGCACUCCGCCUGGGGAGUACGACCGCAAGGUUGAAACUCAAAGGAAUUGACGGGGACCCGCACAAGCGGUGGAGCAUGUGGUUUAAUUCGAAGCAACGCGAAGAACCUUACCAAAUCUUGACAUCCUUUGACAACUCUAGAGAUAGAGCCUUCCCCUUCGGGGGACAAAGUGACAGGUGGUGCAUGGUUGUCGUCAGCUCGUGUCGUGAGAUGUUGGGUUAAGUCCCGCAACGAGCGCAACCCUUAAGCUUAGUUGCCAUCAUUAAGUUGGGCACUCUAAGUUGACUGCCGGUGACAAACCGGAGGAAGGUGGGGAUGACGUCAAAUCAUCAUGCCCCUUAUGAUUUGGGCUACACACGUGCUACAAUGGACAAUACAAAGGGCAGCGAAACCGCGAGGUCAAGCAAAUCCCAUAAAGUUGUUCUCAGUUCGGAUUGUAGUCUGCAACUCGACUACAUGAAGCUGGAAUCGCUAGUAAUCGUAGAUCAGCAUGCUACGGUGAAUACGUUCCCGGGUCU
rnacentral:rRNA from 1 species